CUUGUACUCCCUCCGUCCGAAAAUACUUGUCAUUGAAAUGGAUGUAUCUAGAUGUAUUUUAGUUCUAGACACAUCCAUUUUCAUGACAAGUAAUUCCGGACGGAGGGAGUACUUG
rnacentral:pre_miRNA from 1 species